AAUCUUUUGCGUAUCUGUGUCUGCACGAGUGCAUGGCAUGGACCGUUAGGUUGAAUAUUCGAAUCUUGGCCGUUAAUACCGUUAUGUUGUAAUAAAUAUUCAAAUAUUUAUUUAUCAAAUUUUUAAUUGAUAAUAUGGUUUUUCUUUUAAUCUCAUUUUAAGAAAGAGGAUUCGUAAAAUGUUUAAGAGUACUUCUUUUUUGGGUGAGCUACUUCUGGAGACUUAAUGCUGCCCCUUCUUUUAAUUUUCUCUAUGAUAUUCUGAAAAUUAUUGUUAGAUUUUUCUUUCAGAGGCUUGUUUUGCACAAAAAAUUAAUUGAUAUAUAUAUAUGCCCAAUUCCAGCGAGAAUCUCUCUCAUUUAUGACAUGACACUCUUUUUAUAAGCUCAUCUUUUACACGUAGCAAAUGUAACCUGAAUAUCAUUUGUUUUAUAUAUGACUUGCAUUCUUAGAUAUAUAUAUAUAUAUAUAUCUCCCCUCUCAGAGUCAUACUCUC
rnacentral:lncRNA from 1 species